UGCAAGUCGAACGAACUCUUCGGAGUUAGUGGCGCACGGGUGCGUAACGCGUGGGAACCUGCCUUAAGGUUCGGAAUAACAGUUAGAAAUGACUGCUAAUACCGGAUAAUGUCUUCGGACCAAAGAUUUAUUGCCUUAAGAUGGGCCCGCGUUGGAUUAGGUAGUUGGUGGGGUAAAGGCCUACCAAGCCGACGAUCCAUAGCUGGUCUGAGAGGAUGAUCAGCCACACUGGGACUGAGACACGGCCCAGACUCCUACGGGAGGCAGCAGUGGGGAAUAUUGGACAAUGGGCGAAAGCCUGAUCCAGCAAUGCCGCGUGAGUGAUGAAGGCCUUAGGGUUGUAAAGCUCUUUUACCAGGGAUGAUAAUGACAGUACCUGGAGAAUAAGCUCCGGCUAACUCCGUGCCAGCAGCCGCGGUAAUACGGAGGGAGCUAGCGUUGUUCGGAAUUACUGGGCGUAAAGCGCGCGUAGGCGGUCUAUUAAGUCAGGGGUGAAAUCCCGGGGCUCAACCCCGGAACUGCCCUUGAAACUGCUAGACUAGAAUCUUGGAGAGGUCAGUGGAAUUCCGAGUGUAGAGGUGAAAUUCGUAGAUAUUCGGAAGAACACCAGUGGCGAAGGCGACUGACUGGACAAGUAUUGACGCUGAGGUGCGAAAGUGUGGGGAGCAAACAGGAUUAGAUACCCUGGUAGUCCACACCGUAAACGAUGAUAACUAGCUGUCCGGGUUCAUGGAACUUGGGUGGCGCA
rnacentral:rRNA from 1 species